rnacentral:rRNA from 1 species
AACGAACGCUGGCGGCAGGCCUAACACAUGCAAGUCGAGCGGACCUUUCGGGGUCAGCGGCGGACGGGUGAGUAACGCGUGGGAAUAUGCCCUUCUCUACGGAAUAGUCCUGGGAAACUGGGGUAAUACCGGAUACGCCCCUUGGGGGAAAGAUUUAUCGGGGAAGGAUUAGCCCGCGUUGGAUUAGGUAGUUGGUGGGGUAAUGGCCUACCAAGCCGACGAUCCAUAGCUGGUUUGAGAGGAUGAUCAGCCACACUGGGACUGAGACACGGCCCAGACUCCUACGGGAGGCAGCAGUGGGGAAUCUUAGACAAUGGGGGCAACCCUGAUCUAGCCAUGCCGCGUGAGUGAUGAAGGCCUUAGGGUUGUAAAGCUCUUUCAGCUGGGAAGAUAAUGACGGUACCAGCAGAAGAAGCCCCGGCUAACUCCGUG